CAUUCUGAUACGGUGUGGCGGGCUGGGGUCCAGAGCCAUGGCCGAGAAAGAAUUCUUGAGGUGUCUUUGGUGCAAAACGGUGGUUUUAUGAAAGCCGAGGGACAGGACGUGUGGGCAGAGAGAGCUGCGCGGGGCUGGUGAGGGGAGGUGGAGGGAGGACAUACCUGGGAGUUGGAGGAAGUAAAGACAAAGAGGGGUUUCCAAUAGGACUUUCAUGUGCUAAAGAAUACUCAGCCGUUAGAAACGACAAAUACCCACCAUUUGCUUCGACAUGGAUGGACCUAUGGAUGGACCUGGAGGGUAUGAUGCUGAGUGAAGUAAGUCAAUCGGAGAAGGACAAACAUUGUAUGGUCUCAUUUAUUUGGGGAAUAUAAAAAAUAGUGAAAGGGAAUAAAGGGGAAAGGAGAAAAAAAUGAGUGGGAAAUAUCAGAGAGGGAGACAGAACAUGAGAGACUCCUGACUCUGGGAAACGAACUAGGGGUGGUGGAAGGGGAGGUGGGUGGGGGGUGGGGGGACUGGGUGAUGGGCACUGAGGGGGGCACUUGGCGGGAUGAGCACUGGGUGUUAUUCUAUAUGUUGGUAAAUUGAAUUUAAAUUUAAAAAUGUAAAAAAAAAAAAAAAAAAAAGGCAGCUGGGAGUUUCCUGGAGGGACUUUUACUCUGCCUGCCUCAAGUAUGUGUCAAUGGGCUGCAGGUUAUAAGGACGUUUAACUGUGUCUACACUUCCUUCUACCUUAGCUUCCUGCAUCAACUUGACUUCUGCUUGGACACUGCCAGGGAUGGGGACAUCACCACCUAGCACGGGAGGUACCUGGCCUGUCUGUGGCAGCUCCAGCAGGCUGAGAGGCCCAGGAGCUCCCGGGCCUGCAAGGCAGGCAGGAACCCAGAGCCGUGCGACGAGGAAAACGCCUCAUUUUCAGAAGAAGACUCCAAUCUGAGCCAGGAAUCUGGAGUCUGAAAUGACCCCCCUGCCCACCCUCAGUCCCCGGCCUCCCCUGCGCCCCCUCCUAGCCCAGGGCUAUUCACAAAGGGACGUGAAAAGGGGUGAGCAGGGAAAGACGCCUCCCCUGUUGGAUCCCCCUGAUGUAUGGACAGGAGAGGAAGCACCUCUUCUCACCCGGAAGCAGACAAAUAAUACAGACGGUCCAGGGACCUUAAACUUGAAUCAUCAUUAUGUCUGUGGACGUAGACACGGAUGGGAAGACUCGGGCGGUGGAGUCGACGACAUCAGUUUGCUUCCCUCCAGGGCCGUGUCCCCCCAGGCUUGGCCUUUCCAUUGUACCGAGCAUGGCCCGUGUGGCUUGGCCCAGCCUUGUGGGGGGAGGUGGGUCACCAUGACAAUGUGUCCUGAGGGGCCCUGUCCCUGAGGAUGAAGGCAUAAGAGCCGGCUACUGCUGCCCCUGUCUGCUUCACGGCUCACCUGCCGCACCUCUGUGCCGUCACGCCAUGAACGGACGACUCAGCUUGAAAAAUCAUGAAGAAUCAGCUUUCUUGAAGAGCCGCUGGGUCUGACUGCACCUGCCCAGAAGGAGAGGAAAGCAGCCCGGGGACAAAGCCCAAAGGCAGGGCGCGUGGGUGGUGAGCGCAGAGGUGAGGCAAGCCAAGAGGUAAGCAAACCUGCCUGAGAAGCUCUCGCCUCACUCAGGUCAGGUGCGAGGGCCUCGCUCACCCCCUACGGGGCCCAGAGCACUCAUAAUCCUGAAGAUCUCUUGAAUUUCUCCAGAUGUUCAAUUGGCUUGACAUAGAAAAUAAAUAAAGAAAAAAGAAAAAGCUCAGUGAUGCCGACGUCUCAUCCUGAGAGCCCAGCUAUUUUACUGGCAGUCACAUGUGUAUGGCCGGGAGCGGAUGCUGAGCAGCACAUCAGCGGGCUCGCAAGCAUGAGGCACGCCAUGUGCUCAGCUGCACCCGAGCCCGGGCUGGACGUGUGUGUCGGGGAGGACGGGAGACCGCGUGUGGAAGGGCCUGUGCGAGCAGAGGCAGUGGGGGCGCGUGGGGAUCUGUCUCG
rnacentral:lncRNA from 1 species